UGGGGAAUAUUGGACAAUGGGGGCAACCCUGAUCCAGCAAUGCCGCGUGAGUGAUGAAGGCCUUCGGGUUGUAAAGCUCUUUUGCCAGGGACGAUGAUGACGGUACCUGGAGAAUAAGCCCCGGCUAACUUCGUGCCAGCAGCCGCGGUAAUACGAAGGGGGCAAGCGUUGUUCGGAAUUACUGGGCGUAAAGGGCGCGUAGGCGGUCUAUCAAGUCAGGCGUGAAAUUCCCGGGCUCAACCUGGGGGCUGCGCUUGAUACUGAUGGACUUGAAUGCGGGAGAGGAUAGUGGAAUUCCCAGUGUAGAGGUGAAAUUCGUAGAUAUUGGGAAGAACACCAGUGGCGAAGGCGGCUAUCUGGCCCGUGAUUGACGCUGAGGCGCGAAAGCGUGGGGAGCAAACAGG
rnacentral:rRNA from 1 species